CCAAAAUGUAAACAGAUGAAAGACAAGCUAUUCUGGUUCGAUACAGGAACUUCCACAUAUUUGUUUAUUAGACGAUUCUUGUGCAUCAGCUACUACCAGACAGGCACCAUAGAUGGCAAUGACAACACAGUUUCUGCCUUAAAGAAGCUUAUCAUCUGUGGAGGAAAUGAACAAGUAAACCAAUAAAGAAAGAAGAAAACUAAACAUUCUAAAAAUAACCCACUGAUGUUUAAUGAAGAUGCCUGUGGAGAGAGGCUCAGAAGUAGGGGUAAGA